GACGAACGCUGGCGGCGUGCUUAACACAUGCAAGUCGAACGGAAAGGGCCUGCUGUUGUGGGGUGCUCGAGUGGCGAACGGGUGAGUAACACGUGAGUAACCUGCCCUUGACUUUGGGAUAACUUCAGGAAACUGGGGCUAAUACCGGAUAGGAGCUCCUGCUGCAUGGUGGGGGUUGGAAAGUUUCGGCGGUUGGGGAUGGACUCGCGGCUUAUCAGCUUGUUGGUGGGGUAGUGGCGUACCAAGGCUUUGACGGGUAGCCGGCCUGAGAGGGUGACCGGCCACCUUGGGACUGCGGUACGGACCAGACUCCUACGGGAGGCAGCAGUGGGGAAUAUUGCACAAUGGGCGGAAGCCUGAUGCAGCAACCCCGCGUGCGGGAUCACGGCCUUCGGGUUGUAAACCGCUUUCGCCUGUGACGAAGCGUGAGUGACGGUAAUGGGUAAAGAAGCACCGGCUAACUACGUG
rnacentral:rRNA from 1 species